UUGCUUUGGCAGCAUAUACACUGAAAUUGAAUAGUACAGAGACUAUUAGCGUGGCCCUUGCAAAAGGAUGGAUUGAAAAUUUGUGAAACAUUCCAUGUUUUC
ensembl:snRNA U6 U6 spliceosomal RNA